CGUUGAAACACCGAUUGCCGUACGAUCACCGAAGUUAAGCAACUUCAAGCCUGCCGCGUACUUAGAUGGGUGACCACUUGGGAAUACCAGGUGCUGUAAG